UGGAGUGGCAGUUAUUUUAAUUUAUUUAAUUAAAGCAGUGGAUACUUAAUUAUUAAUUUUGAUUUAAUUUAACGGAAGACUACUUCCAGGCAUGGCCCCAAGCUAAAAGGAAUUUAUAUUUCUGUUAUUGUAACUAAUAAUUACAGCUAAUAUUAGCACAUUACAAGCACAAAUUCUUGUUAGCAACUUACAAUUUGAAAUCAUUGUUAAGAGUCUUUGAAAACAUAGUGAGAUUAAAUUUUUGUGAGUAAAAAAUGUCUUUUAUUUUAAGUCCUGAACGAGUUACAGAACAUAGAAAAAGGCUGUAAUAAGCCAUAAAAAAAGAUGGUUCUAUAAGUUAACCUGUUAACUAUUUUUAGGCCAAGGACAGUUUGCAGCAGAAACAUGAAAUUCACUUUAGUCUGGGGCAAAUUCACCAAACGGAUACCUAACAAUGGGUUUUGUAUUAUGUUAUUUUUAAUCAAAAUAUUAGAAUUGCAUUAAAUCAUUAUCUGAUUGAAGCAGAAUGGCCUGCACAAAUAGGGGUGUGCGAACCUAGAAAGGUGGCAGCAAUAUCAUUAGCUAAUCGUGUCGCGGAUGAGAUGGGAACGUUUGUACAGGGCGAUACAGUCGGAUAUGCUGUGCGUUUCGAUGCAUGUACAAACCAGCCAAAGAUAAAGUAUAUGACCGAAGGAAUUCUCCUCAGAGAAAUCAUGGGUGAUCCUCUUUUAAAAAAUUAC